UCGACCUGAGUUCARGCAGGGCUACCCGCUGAACUUAAGCAUAUCAWUAAGCG
rnacentral:rRNA from 1 species